CAGUAGUUCAUCUUCUUCUUGACAAUCGAUAGUGUAAUAAAAUAAUUUUUUUGUUUUGUUUUACUGCUUAUAUACAGAGAAACAGUUUGUUGGUAGGAGAGCCUGGAAAAGCUAAUAAAAUGUUUUCAAAAUUAACGUCAUCCAUUCAAUUCUAACAACUAAAUGUUCAAGAUGUACCAUUGAAAUUAGCAGUAUAUAUUCAGUUUGACAUUAAUUUCGUAAUUGAAUAAUGAACAACGAAUGGGGAAAUCAAUCAAGUGAUAAUAACAGAGAACAGAAAACCUAUCACACGUUUGAAGAAAUGAGAGAAUGUUUUGUGCAACGAUUAAAAAAAGAAAAUCGUUGUUUUUUCAUUAGCGACAACAAAUCGUCAAAUACAAUUAGAAUUGACGUAUGUGCUGUGAAUCCAUGCAAUUCAUGUGGAAGUUGCUUGCGUGCAGGAAUAAUAUCGAGAGCUUGUGAAGAUAUUCUCACGAGGAUGAAUAUUAAUAAUCUGUAGCGAGAGAGACAGGUGGAUACAUUUUUUAACGAACCAUGUCUAAUUUGAAAGGAAAAAUGAUUCAUGUACCAGACAUUUCUAAAGAUUUCAUUCUUAAUAAGGCGGUUCAAGAUGCUACCUAUAUUUUACUUAAACCAUACAUGCCUAUGAUAUACCGUGAGAAUAAAUAUCAAAGUAUAAACGAUUUUGCUCAAGGAUGUAUAUUGAAUUCACAGGACUUCUCAUUGAAAAUGGCAGCAAUUGCAUGGAAUUUCUUAAAUAUUUUUUCAAAAGAAGAUCAAAAAUUUAACUAUGGAACUGUGAAGAAAAAUAGCGAAGAUAGAGAAAUCUAAAGUUUCAUUAGAUUAUUAUUAAUAGAGGUAUAUUAUAUCUUUUAUGGUGCAGCUGCUACUACUUAUGUGAAUCGGCAGUUUAUACGAUGGAAGAAAUUCAUAUUUAAGACCAAUGUAAUUAAUAUAAGUAUUUUUAAUAAAACUAUACAAGCAAAUCUUA